rnacentral:rRNA from 1 species
GUAGUUGACUCCAGGCUCAGGACGACGCUGGCGGCGUGCUUAACACAUGCAAGUCGAACGAUGAAGCCCAGCUUGCUGGGUGGAUUAGUGGCGAACGGGUGAGUAACACGUGAGUAACCUGCCCUGGACUCUGGGAUAACCCCGAGAAAUCGGAGCUAAUACCGGAUAGGACCUUUCCUCGCAUGAGGUUUGGUGGAAAGUUUUUCGGUCUGGGAUGGACUCGCGGCCUAUCAGCUUGUUGGUGAGGUAAUGGCUCACCAAGGCGUCGACGGGUAGCCGGCCUGAGAGGGUGACCGGCCACACUGGGACUGAGACACGGCCCAGACUCCUACGGGAGGCAGCAGUGGGGAAUAUUGCACAAUGGGCGCAAGCCUGAUGCAGCAACGCCGCGUGCGGGAUGACGGCCUUCGGGUUGUAAACCGCUUUUAGUAGGGAAGAAGGGCUUCGGCUUGACGGUACCUGCAGAAAAAGGACCGGCUAACUACGUG